GUAUGUAAUGUACUCUCUCUUCGGAGCAUCGGUGACAGGUGGUGCAUGGUUGUCGUCAGCUCGUGUCGUGAGAUGUUGGGUUAAGUCCCGCAACGAGCGCAACCCCUGUUCUUAGUAGCCAGCAUUUUGGAUGGGCACUCUAGGGAGACUGCCAGGGAUAACCUGGAGGAAGGCGGGGAUGACGUCAAAUCAUCAUGCCCCUUAUGACUUGGGCUACACACGUGCUACAAUGGCGUAAACAAAGGGAAGCGGAGCCGCGAGGCCGAGCAAAUCUCAAAAAUAACGUCUCAGUUCGGACUGUAGUCUGCAACCCGACUACACGAAGCUGGAAUCGCUAGUAAUCGCAGAUCAGAAUGCUGCGGUGAAUACGUUCCCGGGUCUUGUACACACCGA
rnacentral:rRNA from 1 species